CCUGUUUGUCCUCAAUCAGCACAAACUCCUCUUCGUCACGCUCUGCCUCCCUGCCCUCCUCUCGCCCCUCUAAUAUGCACAAGUCUGGUCGAUGCUGUGUAAGGUAGGCGUACAGCUCAUCGGUGCUGCAGGGGGGAAAGAAACGCAGUUACCUUACCUUUCUUGUGAAAGGGCAAGCCAGGCCUCCCUUCUGGUUGAAGCUUUGGUUGUGCCCAACUGAAGGCCUCCUGUAGCCUUCUUCUUCCCUGCAGUCGGCUGAACCCGCAGCCGCACAAACAUCAGAGUCCCAGGACUACCUGCUUUUAACCUGCGAGGCACUGGAAGAGAACAUAGAGCAGAAGGUGGCAGCACUGCUCAGGACGGCCACUCCUAGAACGCCUGUGUGCUCCUCUGCCAGUCCUUCGAGUGGGCUGUCAUCCAGCUCCCCCUCAACCUCUGCCAUGUCUUUGCUCUCUGCCUCCUCUUCCUCCUCCUCCUCCUCCUCCUCCAAAGAAACCUCUUUGGUCAGGCUCAUGGCCAGAGUGGACAAAUCUGAUGGCACCCUGGAGGAGAUUGGCUCCCCCUUUUGGCUUGGGAGGCUGCCUGCUUGCCUUCGGGCAGAUUUCAACUUCUGGAAAAAUUUCUUUCCUUUUCUCCUAAAAAAGAAUCAAAAAGGACAAAGAUCUCUUGUAUUGACUUUUCAUGAAUCAGCUUCUGUGUGUUUAUUUGUGUGUCUUUGCUGACCUCUGCUGGGACUUGCUGAAGUGAACAUGUGAGAUGUCAGAGAAGAAGGAGACGGACGAGAGAUUGUCAACAGAGCAGGACAGGAGGUAUUCCUCACAGCCGUGCUCCUUCACCAGAGGAUGUGUCUUACAUGGGUCGAAGAAAAUCUUAUUUGAAGUCACCAGUAGGAUACCUGAAACCACGCCCUGGAACAUAGGGAAAUGUAAGCAUACAAGGUGUGAGUAAAAGUGAUAUCAGACUGAAACUGCAGGUCACACCCACCUUACGGUCUGUUAUGUAGCGGCAGAAUAGUUUAAGGUACUGAAUGGCUGCUGGUCCCUCCCCCUGACAGCAUUCUGGUGGCAGAGCCAGCAGGCAGAGCUGUCCAUCAGGCAUUGGUACCGCCUCCACAUCCUGUCAGUAUUACAAAUUAUAUCAGUGUAAAUAUAUGUUUUUAAAAUAUUGAAACAUUCAGUGAUUCCUUUUAAACUAUUGGAUCCAAGAAUUGUCUGUCUCCAGAUUCACAAACACACAAGGCAAUGGUAGAAAACUGAAUAGAUUAUGGUUUGAGAUUGUUAAUCAGUUAAAUAAAGCAAACAAACAGCAUUCAACACAGUGAAAUAACUGUCUCUCAGGUAAAGAGAGCAGAAAAUCUCCUUUAAUUUGAAAACGGAUUUAAAGCACUAACAAAAACAAACUUAAGAUUCUACUCUUGUGUUCAUAAAAUCCAGUCCUCACUCAGAGCUGUAAUAUUUUGAUGACUUUCUUGUAAUGCUGCUUGUUACCAAGGCAACAUGGUCUGUUCAUCUGAUCCAUUAUAAAACCUUCUCAGCUCAUUUUUCCUUCACCAUGGCUAAUUAUCGUCUAAUAGCUGGAAUAAAUGUACAAUGAUCUCAAUUAGAAGAGCAGAUACUUAUAUGGUUCGCUUUGUUUAGCUGUUACAAAAAUCUGGAUGCAUAUCUGCUCCAGAGUUUCCCAACUGUCAACAGACACCAGACUCAUGAUAACAGUAUCAGUACCCAGAAGAAGAAGAAGAAUGCUGCCUUCAAAUGGAACUUGUAAAGUCGUUUGAAUGUACAUCGUAAAAACUUUGCUCUCGCUUACGUUAGCUAAUUUCGCUCCUAUAACUACAGACCCUAUCGGUAGCAUAAUAACUUCAUGUAUUGGCAUGAAACUGGAGUCUAUGGGCUCCACCAUCUGUGGACUUCAUCAGACAUGCCACAACUCGUAAACUCUAUGCUUUCAGAAAAUAGGGGGGGCAUUCGUAUGGCCAUUUCUCAUGAACGCGGUAAACACGACCCCAUUUGAAGGCAUCAUAAGUCUUUAAGUGUGGGGGGAGGGACUCUAACAAUAAUGAUAUCAGGGGUCAAAAACAUUAUCAUUAUUAAUUAUUCAGAUACACAAAACUCCUGAUCAAAAUCUAAAAACUUAAGCUACUGCACCAGAUUCUAGAGCUCAAAAUGUUAAUUUCCAGCAGUGCUCUUUGAAAACAUACAGCGAAAGCACCACAGUAUAAAAAUGUAACUUUUCUGCAUACCAGUAGUUUGUCAUAUUCUGCCUCUGGUGAAGGGGACUGAGGCUGAGCAGUGAGGGUCUCCAAAAUCUCUGGAUCCCCCUCCACAUCUGCCUCCAGGUGAGGAACGGAGUGUGAGUUCGGCUCUGGUUGAGACGAUCCUUCACGGUUCAAAGUGUUUUUUCCCUUCGGCACGACCAGCUGCUUUAGAAUGGAAGCCAUGCUAAGAUUAGCUCUGACAUUGAAACAGACACCACUGACUCACGUGGCUACUUCCUCUUUUUACUGGCCUGCAGUUCCCCUAUCUGAUUUGUUUGUAGUCACAUCUCAGUGCCAUGUGACACAUCAGGGUUAAAGAUGACAGAUACAACAUACCAGUUGAUGCCAAUGACAAAGGAGUACAUUUUGUUUACUAUUAUUCUAGGUUUGCUCACAACGAUAGGUUUUAGGGAGAGGUAUUACUCGCCUUUUAAAAGUGAGUAACACAAAGACUGCCUCGAAUUAGAUGCAUGCAGCAUGAGGCCAGCAAGAGGCAGGUGUUGUUUUGCAUGUCAAAUCCUGGCAUGCAAGAGCAGGCAACAAAAACAGCCAAAUUUUCAUUCUUGACCACAAGUACUGGACAAAAUUAAUAAAACAGGUGCCAUCA